UAUUUUUAUCGACAGCUUACGAGUUUGCAGGUGUAUGUCUGACUAAGCACUGCUGCUCUCAUUGAUGUUAGCACACUUCACCUUUUUAUACAGAAUCCAGCCAGUUUCCAGUCUCUUUCUGAAAUCUUCUUGGUACUUUAUUCUUGGAUGAAGACUGUUACGGCCCUGGGCUGAGAUAAUGCUAUCACUGGUCACCAUGCAGAAAGGGAAACCAUCACUGUCAAGGGAUGAUAAGGAAGUAGAUGCCAUCAGUGUCAUGAGAUCAUAGGGAAGAGCCAUCCCUGUCUCUCACACAAGGAGGCAACAUUGCUGAAGGGAAUGGAAGUUAGCACAUCAGUAUUUUGUCUGAUACAUCCAUCCCAUCAUUCUGGUCACCUAUGCACAGGAUUGGUUGGUCUACUGACUCUCAGAAAGCAACACUUGGAAAACAGAAAGAGACCAGAAAACGAAUCCUCUUUUCAUGCAGUUCCUGGAAGAAUAAGGUCCUUGGCCCAUUCAGUGUACCAAAGGAAUGCAUGCCAAAGAAGAGCUGAUGCAAUUUCAUACACAGAAGCUGUUCAGGUAAAAUAUCCUUUAUCUUAUAACCAUUGGAGAUAUAUAAUUACAAGGUCGGGAGAAAGCUAAAUAUCAUGUUCUCCCUCUAGCUAUUUCAUUUCCUCCCCACCCCACGAUGCGUCAAUCCAUCUCCCUGACCGUACUGUUUCCAUUCUCCAUGUAUUUACACUGACAAGAGACUGAAUUAAUGGGGGAUGGCAAAAGGAGGUGAAAUAGUACUUGCUGGUGAAAAGAAGAAACACACCUGGAGGAAUGGGAUGUUGUCCUUUAUUUCAGUGUGAUUGUGCAAUCUCCAGACAUUAUCUACUAUCCACAUGGCACUCAGCUUGAAUCAUUGUCUUCCCACAUUGCAGNGGUCGGGAGAAAGCUAAAUAUCAUGUUCUCCCUCUAGCUAUUUCAUUUCCUCCCCACCCCACGAUGCGUCAAUCCAUCUCCCUGACCGUACUGUUUCCAUUCUCCAUGUAUUUACACUGACAAGAGACUGAAUUAAUGGGGGAUGGCAAAAGGAGGUGAAAUAGUACUUGCUGGUGAAAAGAAGAAACACACCUGGAGGAAUGGGAUGUUGUCCUUUAUUUCAGUGUGAUUGUGCAAUCUCCAGACAAUAUCUACUAUCCACAUGGCACUCAGCUUGAAUCAUAGUCUUCCCACAUUGCAUGGUAUUGUUUGCACAGUAAGAAGCUGAACCAGCAAGGUGUUUAAGCCCGCUAUCCAUCCAGUGGGAGCUGGGGGCCCACUCAACAUUUCAAAGCAUCAAGUUGUAAAUAAUCAGAAAGAGGCCUCUUGUAGCAAAUGCAGAAUGUUAGCUGUAGCUACGUACCUGUCCUUAUGAAAAAGUCCUAUGUAAUUUAAAAAGAAUGAAACUAAUAGGGUUCUAUAGAAAUUAGUCUAAAAACCCAGUCCUACUGACUUCUAUAACAGGUAAAUGCUAGCGGAUGGGGAAAAACUUAACCAACGAUUGAUCUGUGAUGGGAAUGUUUCUAUUAUUGAAUGUGCAUGACUACUGGAAAUUAUUAUUCUAUUUUUCUUUAUUGUUGGUAUAUUUAUAUAUGCAGUCUGAGUCCUCAAUGAAAUAAUAAUGUAAAAAAAGCAAUAGAAAAGUUGCAAUUUUUGUUAAAUUGCCCAGGAUUUUCCACCAGGGUGGGGAUGUUCUGUUUCCUGUAUCUUCAAGGCGUUCCUGUAUCUUCAGGUCAGAAAAAGGCACACAAUGCUGUCUCUGGGGAUGUUAGUCAUAUAGCUUAGCACACUAUGGGAAGGUGCGCAGGCACUCAGGUGCAGUGUAAGAACUAUAUUGAAUAGACUACAGCAAUCAUGUUUAAGACAGACCUGACACAGAAUGUUCAAGGAGACCCACGCUGUCCAUGUUUUUCCAUGGAGAGUUGACUUAUGUUCUUUUCUUUCUUGUGUUUCCCUAAAUGUGCAAUAAAG
rnacentral:lncRNA from 1 species